UACGAAGGGGACUAGCGUUGUUCGGAAUCACUGGGCGUAAAGCGCACGUAGGCGGAUUUGUAAGUCAGGGGUGAAAUCCCGGGGCUCAACCUCGGAACUGCCUUUGAUACUGCGAAUCUUGAGUCCGAUAGAGGUGGGUGGAAUUCCUAGUGUAGAGGUGAAAUUCGUAGAUAUUAGGAAGAACACCAGUGGCGAAGGCGGCUCACUGGCCCGGUACUGACGCUGAGGCGCGAAAGCGUGGGGAGCAAACAGG
rnacentral:rRNA from 1 species